UACGUAGGGGGCAAGCGUUGUCCGGAUUCAUUGGGCGUAAAGAGCUCGUAGGCGGUUUGUCGCGUCUGCUGUGAAAACUCGGGGCUUAACUCCGGGCCUGCAGUGGGUACGGGCAGACUAGAGUGCGGUAGGGGAGACUGGAAUUCCUGGUGUAGCGGUGAAAUGCGCAGAUAUCAGGAGGAACACCGGUGGCGAAGGCGAGUCUCUGGGGAUGUGCCGACGCUGAGACACGAAAGCCAGGGGAGCAAACGGG
rnacentral:rRNA from 1 species